rnacentral:lncRNA from 1 species
AACCAGUUUUGAUCAUUGAACAUUUUUUUUUUCAUUUUUAAGUCUCAAGUUGUAUUUUGUAGCUACAUAUGUGAACUUGGAAAGUACCAUGGAAUAUUCAGUAAGGGGAACAAAGUGCCCAAGAAACAUUGGAAGACUGAGGAAGCCGCUGAACUGAUGGAAAGAACAAAUUCAUUAAAGACUAUAUUUCAAGAGGACUGAGUGUGGUUAUCAGAAAACAGAAGACACCACUUGAGGUAAAGUUAUCAGAUUCAGGGACAGUCAUGCUAUGAGGAUGAACACAUGAGGAAUAAAAAGUCAUGAACC